UGCCCAAGAGAUCGGGAUAACACCUGGAAACAGAUGCUAAUACCGGAUAACAACAGAUGAUGCCUAUCAACUGUUUAAAAGAUGGUUCUGCUAUCACUCUUGGAUGGACCUGCGGUGCAUUAGCUAGUUGGUAGGGUAACGGCCUACCAAGGCGAUGAUGCAUAGCCGAGUUGAGAGACUGAUCGGCCACAUUGGGACUGAGACACGGCCCAAACUCCUACGGGAGGCAGCAGGA
rnacentral:rRNA from 1 species